GAAUCUUGCGCAAUGGGCGAAAGCCUGACGCAGCCAUGCCGCGUGGAUGAUGAAGGUCUUAGGAUUGUAAAAUCCUUUCACCGGGGACGAUAAUGACGGUACCCGGAGAAGAAGCCCCGGCUAACUUCGUGCCAGCAGCCGCGGUAAUACGAAGGGGGCUAGCGUUGCUCGGAAUUACUGGGCGUAAAGGGCGCGUAGGCGGACAGUUUAGUUGGGGGUGAAAGCCCGGGGCUCAACCUCGGAAUUGCCUUCAAUACUGGCUGUCUUGAGUGUGAGAGAGGUGUGUGGAACUCCGAGUGUAGAGGUGAAAUUCGUAGAUAUUCGGAAGAACACCAGUGGCGAAGGCGACACACUGGCUCACUACUGACGCUGAGGCGCGAAAGCGUGGGGAGCAAACAG
rnacentral:rRNA from 1 species